GACGAACGCUGGCGGCGCGCCUAACACAUGCAAGUCGAACGGAGCUGAGAGAAGCUUGCUUUUCUUAGCUUAGUGGCGAACGGGUGAGUAACGCGUGAGUAACCUGCCCUGGAGUGGGGGACAACAGUUGGAAACGACUGCUAAUACCGCAUAAGCCCACGAUCCGGCAUCGGAUUGAGGGAAAAGGAUUUAUUCGCUUCAGGAUGGACUCGCGUCCAAUUAGCUAGUUGGUGAGGUAACGGCCCACCAAGGCGACGAUUGGUAGCCGGACUGAGAGGGUGAACGGCCGCAUUGGGACUGAGACACGGCCCAGACUCCUACGGGAGGCAGCAGUGGGGGAUAUUGCACAAUGGGGGAAACCCUGAUGCAGCGACGCCGCGUGGAGGAAGAAGGUUUUCGGAUUGUAAACUCCUGUCGUUAGGGACGAUAAUGACGGUACCUAACAAGAAAGCACCGGCUAACUACGUG
rnacentral:rRNA from 1 species